UACGAAGGGGCUAGCGUUGCUCGGAAUUACUGGGCGUAAAGGGAGCGUAGGCGGACAUUUAAGUCAGAGGUGAAAUCCCGGAGCUUAACUCCGAAACUGCAUUCGAUACUGCCGUGCUUGAGGACUGGAGAGGAGACUGGAAUUUACGGUGUAGCGGUGAAAUGCGUAGAUAUCGUAAGGAAGACCAGUGGCGAAGGCGGGUCUCUGGACAGUUC
rnacentral:rRNA from 1 species